rnacentral:rRNA from 1 species
UAGGGAAUCUUCCACAAUGGGCGCAAGCCUGAUGGAGCAACACCGCGUGAGUGAAGAAGGGUUUCGGCUCGUAAAACUCUGUUGUUGGAGAAGAACGUGCGUAAGAGUAACUGUUUACGCAGUGACGGUAUCCAACCAGAAAGUCACGGCUAACUACGUGCCAGCAGCCGCGGUAAUACGUAGGUGGCAAGCGUUAUCCGGAUUUAUUGGGCGUAAAGCGAGCGCAGGCGGUUGCUUAGGUCUGAUGUGAAAGCCUUCGGCUUAACCGAAGAAGUGCAUCGGAAACCGGGCGACUUGAGUGCAGAAGAGGACAGUGGAACUCCAUGUGUAGCGGUGGAAUGCGUAGAUAUAUGGAAGAACACCAGUGGCGAAGGCGGCUGUCUGGUCUGCAACUGACGCUGAGGCUCGAAAGCAUGGGUAGCGAACAGG